rnacentral:rRNA from 1 species
CCGGUAACAUCCGAGUCUUUGAACGCAAGUUGCGCCCGAUGCCAUUAGGUUGAGGGCACGUCUGCCUGGGUGUCACAUAUCGAAGCCUCCUGCCAAUUUCCUUUUGACAGGUAUUGUGCGGGGUGAAUGUUGGCCUCCCGUGAGCUCUUUCGUCUCAUGGUUGGUUGAAAAUUGAGACCUUGGUAGGGUGUGCCAUGUUAGAUGGUGGUUGUGUGACCCACGAGACCAAUCAUGCGCUACUCUAUUGAAUUUGGCCUCUUUUACCCAUAUGCGUUUCUAAACGCUCGUGAUGAGACCUCAGGUCAGGCGGGGCUACCCGCUGAAUUUAAGCAUAUCAAUAAGCGGAGGAAAAGAAACUAACAAGGAUUCCCUUAGUAACGGCGAGCGAACCGGGAUAAGCCCACCAUGAGAAUCGGUCGCCCUCGGCGUUCGAAUUGUAGUUGAAAAAAACCGUAAAAAACU